rnacentral:rRNA from 1 species
AGUGAACGCUGGCGGUAGGCCUAACACAUGCAAGUCGAACGGCAGCACAGUAAGAGCUUGCUCUUACGGGUGGCGAGUGGCGGACGGGUGAGGCAUACAUCGGAAUCUACUUUUUCUUGGGGGAUAACGUAGGGAAACUUCCGCUAAUACCUCAUACGACCUACGGGUUAAAGCAGGGGAUCUUCGGACCUUGCGCGUUUGAAUGAGCCGAUGUCGGAUUAGCUAGUUGGCGGGGUAAAGGCCCACCAAGGCGACGAUCCGUAGCUGGUCUGAGAGGAUGAUCAGCCACACUGGAACUGAGACACGGUCCAGACUCCUACGGGAGGCAGCAGUGGGGAAUAUUGGACAAUGGGCGCAAGCCUGAUCCAGCCAUACCGCGUGGGUGAAGAAGGCCUUCGGGUUGUAAAGCCCUUUUGUUGGGAAAGAAAAGCAGCAGGUUAAUACCCCGAUGUUCUGACGGUACCCAAAGAAUAAGCACCGGCUAACUUCGUG